rfam:Schistosoma rodhaini strain Burundi genome assembly, scaffold: SROB_scaffold0001960
AUCUAUCUGACGAGUUCGAAAUAGAACGAAACGCGUGUCCUGGAU